rnacentral:rRNA from 1 species
GACGAACGCUGGCGGCGUGCUUAACACAUGCAAGUCGAACGGAAAGGCCCUGCUUUUGUGGGGUGCUCGAGUGGCGAACGGGUGAGUAACACGUGAGUAACCUGCCCUUGACUUUGGGAUAACUUCAGGAAACUGGGGCUAAUACCGGAUAGGAGCUCCUGCUGCAUGGUGGGGGUGGGAAAGUUUCGGCGGUUGGGGAUGGACUCGCGGCUUAUCAGCUUGUUGGUGGGGUAGUGGCUUACCAAGGCUUUGACGGGUAGCCGGCCUGAGAGGGUGACCGGCCACCUUGGUACUGCGAUACGGCCCAGUCUCCUACGGUAGGCAGCAGUGGGGAAUAUUGCGCAAUGGGCGGAAGCCUGAUGCAGCAACGCCGCGUGCGGGAUGUCGGCCUUCGGGUUGUAAACCGCUUUCGGCUGUGACGAAGCGUGAGUGACGGUAAUGGGUAAAGAAGCACCGGCUAACUACGUG